GACGAACGCUGGCGGCGUGCUUAACACAUGCAAGUCGAACGGAAAGGCCCUGCUUUUGUGGGGUGCUCGAGUGGCGAACGGGUGAGUAACACGUGAGUAACCUGCCCUUGACUUUGGGAUAACUUCAGGAAACUGGGGCUAAUACCGGAUAGGAGCUCCUGCUGCAUGGGGGGGGUUGGAAAGUUUCGGCGGUUGGGGAUGGACUCGCGGCUUAUCAGCUUGUUGGUGGGGGAGUUGCUUACCAAGGCAUUGACGGGUAGCCGGCCUGAGAGGGUGACCGGCCACAUUGGGCCUGAGAUACGGCCCAGACUCCUACGGGAGGCAGCAGUGGAGAAUAUUGCACAAUGGGCGGAAGCCUGAUGCAGCAACGCCGCGUGCGGGAUGACGGCCUACGGGUUGUAAACCGCUUUCGCCUGUGACGAAGCGUGAGUGACGGUAAUGGGUAAAGAAGCACCGGCUAACUACGUG
rnacentral:rRNA from 1 species